rnacentral:rRNA from 1 species
GACGAACGCUGGCGGCGUGCCUAAUACAUGCAAGUAGAACGAGUUGCGAACGGGUGAGUAACGCGUGGUAACCUGCCUCAUAGCGGGGGAUAACUAUUGGAAACGAUAGCUAAUACCGCAUAGAUGGAUGGACCCGCGGUGCAUUAGCUAGUUGGUGAGGUAACGGCUCACCAAGGCCACGAUGCAUAGCCGGCCUGAGAGGGUGAUCGGCCACACUGGACCUGAGACACGGUCAAGACUCCUACGGGAGGCAGCAGUGGGGAAUAUUGCACAAUGGGCGCAAGCCUGAUGCAGCCAUGCCGCGUGUAUGAAGAAGGCCUUCGGGUUGUAAAGUACUUUCAGCGAGGAGGCGUUACUCGCAGAAGAAGCACCGGCUAACUCCGUGCCAGCAGCCGCGGUAAUAC